GGGAAGACGGACAGUAUGGUCUGGCGGAGCAGCUGGUAGCCUAAGGCCUGGUCAUCAGAAGGACUGAUGGGCAGAGGGUCAAAGGCUCUUAGCACUUCGAACUGUACUCGGUCAUCAGCCACGAUGUUCUUGCUUUACCUCCAACACAUCUUCCAUUCAUGAGAGGAACAUCAGUACACAUAAAACAGCUGUGGGACAACACAACACUGUGGAAUGUUCCAGAAGGAUGGCAGAGAGAGAAAUGAAAGGUCAAUGUAUUCUCAAGUAACUCUGAGGUCUCCCUCAUUAUUGGUAGGUGCUGAAGUCUACCUACAUCUGGAACAUGGCAGAGACGAGGUGAAGAUGGAGAGGACUCUGGUGGCUGCCUGGCUUCCAUCUCCUGGAUCCAGUGUGGGACUCUGUGCAUGCAACCCUCAGGCCAUGUCCUUGGAAAAUGGACUAGGGUACUUGGGAGGGGGACGACAAGAAUCAAUGGAGCUUGUGAGCUUUCUGAUUGAUGGGAGCUUUCCAUUCCUCACUGGUGCAGGUGGGCAGGAUGGAGUUAGGAAUUGAGGGUGGGGAACAGAGGAGGGAAGAGUGCCAGGACCUGGGGAGAUGAAAGCCCUGGUUGGGUGGAAAACAGCCCUUGGGAAGGGCAUGGAAUUGGAAUGAAGCUGGAAAAAAACUGGUGGAAAGAAGCUCAAUGGGGGAAUUCAGUGAUUUCCUGGCCUCAUGAUCCCCCAGGGAGAGGACAAAAGUUGGCACCUGAUGAAAAGCAGCAUGCUCCAGUACUUUACACCGAUUCUAGAUUCCCCCUUCCCCUAAUGCUAGGUGGCUCUAGGCAGGUUAUAAAUCUACUUUUCAUCUUCAGUGAGGAGUGACUCCUCCCUACUUGAGGACAGAUGAAAUCCUUCACAGGAAGAACUUAGGAGAGUCUAAGUGGAGCUGACCUCCCAUGAUCUGUGGCAGAGACCUGCCUCAGCCUGUGUACUCUGGGAUAUUUAACUUAUCUGGUAGUUGUUGGGUAACUAUUUUGCAGUCAGAUUAAACUUUUGAAUUCUUUUUUAAGAAUUCAACCUUAUGUUUGGAUAAGCUGGCAUUUCCUCUAGAUAUUAAGCAUGCAGUGUAACUUCUGCUCACUCUUGAGCUUUCAGCUCAAAUGUUCCUGCCUCAGGAAAGCCUCGCCUGGCUCCAGAAGAAGUCUCCUCAUUUUUCUCAAAGUACUAGGUUCCUUUCCGCCAUAGCACCCACUGUUAACUUUGCAGGUUCUGAUUAUGUUAAUAACACUCUGCCUUGUACCUCUAGUUCAUUUCUCUCCAUAUUGGAGAUAGUAUUGAAAAUUGCCUACUAAUUUAUACACUACAUUUCUUAAACUUAAGCCACUAUAUAUUUCCUAGAAUUUGUUCUUCUUCCCAAAUUCUAAGUCUUGGUGAUAACACUUGUGCUAGGCCAACUCCUGAACUUGGGUUAACUCUCGGGGCUGCUCUGCCUUGCUGUCACUGCACAUCUGUACAUAUCCUGUUGAACCCUUUUCCUGCAGGUGAGUUCCCUGUCUCCACCCCAUGACUCGGCCUCAGUUCAGAGCUUCACAGGCAUUGCCUGAACUGCUGCAAUAGUUUCUUGUCUCUUCCUACCCCAGCACUUUCUCUGUGGGCUACUGACAUCAUCUACCAGUAAAUCCAAGCCUAGCUUGGCACUGUUUGAAGAACUCUGAGAAUUCAUUCCUGUUCUCAGUGUGGCAUACUAGGCCUUGAUCCCCAAGCUAUGGCUCUAUCUCCUAUUGAUUUUUAUCUGUUGUUACUUUUCCCCAAUUUCUACUCGUUAGCCACAGGAAUAUUUUAUUUUUACUAAGCCCUGAUGAUCCUUUAACAACCAAGUCACAUUUCUAGGGGCCAGAAAAAAUUUAUUUUGGCUCUUCAAAGUAGCAUCGGCUUCCUUUGCAGUGGUUGUACGGUGACUUGCCCAUCUCUGAUUGUUAUAACUGUAGUGUAGAGUACAGACUCAAGCUAGGGUGCUGGGUGCACCAUCAUUGAAUAUGCCGUUUAACCGCUCUUUGCUCCAUGUCUCCAUGUUUACUGGUUGAAAGAGCAAUGAAGUGCCUACCUCACAGGGUACCUGUAAAGACUAAACGGGUGGUGUGAAACGUGUGAACAUCUAGCCAUCUAGUCAAACAUACAACAAUCUCAUUAUGUAUAUUUACUACUUUUGAUACCAUUUAUUCAUCUGUAUCUCCCACUUCCUACCCCAGACACCAAAAUCCUCCAAACCAGAGAUUUUAUCCUAGCCACACAGCCACAGAAUGCCUUGGAGUAAUGUACACUGAAUAAAGGAAACUGGCCCAGUCCUACGAUUGUACUAAAUACAGGUCCUUAGGGCCCAAACUCUUCAAGUUGAACCCAUUUUCUGGAUACAUGGGACGUACCUCACUGACUGUCUGUGCAGGGUGAAUCCGGAAGUUGACUAUGGCCUGUGCCACCGGGGGGAUGACAUUCACCUAGGGAGAGAAUCAGAAAGCCUGGCCUGAGCGGACCUCAAGUCUCCAACCCAUGAAAUACCAAUUACCAGCAACAGCAGGAGCAGAGGAAGGUGAUGUGAUUUAAGGAACCAGGGCUUACUACUCUCAAUCUGUCCUUGUCUUUGCCGGGCCCUUGGGAUGUAGUUAUAUUUAGGGCUGGGGCAUGCAGCAUUUCAUUAAGUCUUCUGCUUCCUGGACCCCAAGGUGGUCACAGAGAUGCUCAGAGAAAAUAGCUUUCUUGGCAACAACCUGGACAUCUGUAUUCUGGUCCUGUGCUGCACACUGGGAGCCUUCUGGGAGCCUUUCCAGGAGACCUGGACAUUUUUGAGUAUGUUAGUUUAAUACAAAAAUACAUACAGAGUCCAUUUCACUGCAAGUUUAAAGUGUUUUAAUUGGCAGACAAUAUAAAGAUAUUUUAAAAACAGAAAAACUAUAAAUUGAACACAUGAAAGUCUUCCCUUUUGAAUUUUUAAUAAAAUACUGCUCUGUAUAUAUAAGAUCUAAUAAAAAAUUCCAGUUACUUAUUAAAGGCUUAUGUGAGAAAAGAAAUGAAUUGAUAUAUAUAUAUAUAUAAUAUGUAUGAAUUAUACUUAAUUAUAUUAAGUGAAUAAAAUGUUCACUUGUCUGGACAACUUAAUAGUGUAUCAAAAAAAGACUUAACAGUAUAUCGAGUGCUGAAAUAAUCAAUAGCAACUAGUAGUAUAUUACUCGAAAAAAUUAAUUUUUAUAGGUCUGUAUAAAAAAUGUAUCACUGGAACCACAGUUGCCUUCAGGACUCGAACUUGCGAUGGAUGAACACACCACUGAGCACGGCCGUAUUACUGGGUCACUGAAGCAUGCACUCUAGACAAGAGCAGUGGAUUGCCAAGGUUCUUGACUAGUAAAACUACCUUCCACAGGUUUUACUUUGCUUUUCACUUUACUUUUCUGAAAGGAGGACCUGUGAUAUCUGAAUUGUUACCUCAGGAUGCUAACAAGGAAAUCUAGGGGCUGCCUAUUGGCUCUACUGCAGAGGACCUGGGGCCGCCCGCUUCAUCUGUCUCCUACUGUUCCUGGCAGAGGGUGGGAAAGUGUGAUGGAAGUGAGAAUUAAGGCAGUCUGCAAAACUGUUCUAGAAUUUUAAACUAUUCUGAUCAGCAAAAGAAAUGCCUGCAAAAAAGACUAUCUCACUGACAAAAACUCAUAAAAAUGUACAUAAGGAAUACUGUCUGCUAGGAAUUAACUCGGAGGCAUUAUGCACUUCAAUCAGCGCAGGGUCCAGAUGGCCAGAUUCCUUCCAUCUCAAAGUUACGUUGUUACUGUUUUGCAGUGCUGGGGGUUGAACCAUGGGCUUCUACCAUGGAGCCACAGUUAGCUUUUUUUAUUUGUUUUGUUUUUUGAAACAACCACUACAUAGUUCAAGUUGGCUCUGAAAUCACUACUAGGUAGUGUGAUUAGGCCUUAAACUUGCAGUGAUCCUCAUGCCUCAGCCUCCCAAGUAGCUAUGAAACAGGCAUGUGCUACUACACCUAACUCCACAGGUCACGUUGUGCUUUAAGGGAAUGGUGCCCUUUUAAACUGUGGUGGUGGCACUGCCAGUUAUAGGAGGGAUCAAAUUCUCUUUAAGAUUUCAGAAAGGCCUGUGCCUUUGUGUGGCCAGGUUUGGCCCUUUAACUAGACACUCCAUAGUGGCCAAUCCACAAAGCAGACUAAUUCAUUGAAAAGUAAGUCUUGGAACAAAAAUUUAUCAAAGUAUUGAUUUACUUGAAAUUUAUUUCUGGAAGAGUAAACCUCAUAUAGAAAUUAUGUUUGUUAAGAACACCCAAUAUUUAGUAGAUUUUGGGAAAUGAUGAGUUUUAAGUGAGAUAAUGUGUAUAUAUAUUUUUCCUUAAUUUUAUAAAUGGCAAGUGAGUUCCCUCUUUGUUUGUUUUUUUCUUUCUUUCAAGAAAGGGUUUUGCUGUGUAAUUCAGGCUGGCCUUGAAUUCACUGUGUAGCCCAGGUUGGCUUCGAACUCAUGGCAAUCCUCCUGCCUCAGCCUCCUAAGUGCUGGGAUUGCAGGUGUGCACCACCAUGCCAGGCUGGUUUCCCUUUUUCAAUUUAGGAUUAAUACUGGGUAAAAUGUAUUAAUUACUCACUAAGUAGAUACAUCUUUGAAAACAUGAGGAUCCUUAAAAAGAUCCUUGUUGGUAGAAAAGUUAGAAACCUCAGUCUACAUGACCAAAGUGUUAGUAAAUAUAAAACAUGUUGAGUUAUAGCCUGACCAUAAGUCACAAGAAGGAACUCCCAAGUGACCCUUCUUCACACCAGUAUAAUGGUUGCUUUGGGGAAGGUCACACCUAAGGAGUUUGAGAGGGUUGUGGAUGUCUUCCACUAAAAUAAGCACAUAUAAAAUGUGGUCAACAAUUUCAGAGAACUGGCAGGCCUUGGCUAGAUUCCUGCUCUGGGUGCAUACCCAUGGCAUGACACAGGCUGGUUGUGCACUGCCCCUUCCUAGUGUUCAACUGCCAGGCAGAGAAGGGUGAUAAAGCCAAAGGUCAGAGGAGAUAGAGAAGGGGGUGGGCAGUAAGAAGGUCACUGCAGAACCAGGUGACGUUACCUUGACCCCGGCAUGGAACAUGGUGACCGCUGUGGUGGUCCUGAUCAUCGCGUUGGUUAUAGGAUUUCUAUCUAUCAACCUAAAGCAAAAGGAUGUUAAGUCGGACAUUAAGAACUAUCCAAGGGGGACACAGGAAGGGCUGGAAGUUCACCCACUUUCCUGAAGCGUGCAGACCUUCAGGACUGAGAGAGAUAGCCUAUACCUGAUUAGAUUAGGUGUCUGUGCAGGCUGAGGGAUGACUAGUGAGGCCCAGGAAAGCCAAUGAAAGGAGACUGCAGCGAGGGCAGGGGAUGAAAAGGAGGGAAGGAUAAUACUUAACCUGCUUACGAGGGGCUGAAAUAGCCACAUGUUGCUCAAGACUAUAUUGGCAGGGAAGGAGAACUGAAAGAAAGAGAACAGCAUUAGCAGGAUUAGCUGGGACAAUGCAGUGUGGUCCCUGCCCCCUCGCCUGGGUCUCUCUGCUGCCUUGAGAUCCUCACUGAGUUCCGCUGGCCUCACCCUUGCUAGAGGACAGGGCAGUUUCUACCU